rnacentral:lncRNA from 12 species
GGCAAGUCAAACGUUAGCAAUAAUAUUCUAAAGUACUUGGACAUUUUUAUAUCAGCUCAGUGUGCUCUUUUUGCCCUUGAGUGGCAGAGGUGACCUCAGCAUAUCACAUCACAGUCCGCGCUCUCCUGAGCCCGCGCGCUGAUUGAAGUGUUCUGGUUGCCAUGACUACUGAGAAUCUGUGAGGGACCAAUGCGCGGCGCUGCUCUCCAUCUCACAGGCUGUGCUAUAAAAUACUCCUCUUCCCUGAGCAACAUGCAACGACUGGAUAAAGUCUCUUUUAAGAACUAACCUCACGUGCUCAUACGCGCAAGCGUCGUCUCGGUUUGAGUAUGUACAACGAAUGUGAUCUUGCGUUCCCGUCUCCUCCUCCUCCUCCUGGAGCCGGCACUGAGAGGCGUUUCGUCAUGAGUAAAAAGACAGUUUUACCGCAAUGCUAUUUCAAUAGCUAUCUAGCUCUGCACGAGAGCCACUGACCCAAGAGGAAAGGGUGGUGCCGCGCACUGGCAUAGUCCAUGCGCGUUCACGCAUUUAUCUGGAGUCGGCUCAGCAGACAAGAACCGAGCGGAGCAGGUGUGCGCUUUCAGUCUGGGUUCAGAGCUCCUCUCUCUCGUCUCUGACUUUGAUGGACUUACAUGCGGCUCGUUAACUGCAGUGGAUGACUCUAUAUGCGCGUUUAUUGCUCAGGGUGAAAGUGUCCUUCUUCAGAACACAGUUCAGUGGAGAUCUUCAUCAUGAACACAGAUAGCGGAGGACGUGCUCAUAAAAGAGCAUCCCUGUCGCUCACUCUCUGUCCUGUGAAGAGGGUCCAGAGCUCACCCAACCUGUACGCAGCUGCAGGUAGUGAUUCCCAGUCUUCAGAUUCAGGCAAGUGUCUGUUGGAUGUGUAUGUGAUUCUGUUUCCAUCAGUGUGUUGUAUUGUUCUAUUGUAUUUUAUUUUGUAUGAGCAUUAUUUCACUUAGAUUUAGUUUUAGUUAACAAUAACUAUAAUAAUUUGUUUGUGUGGGUGUUUGUAUUUAUUUAUUUAUUUGUGUGUAGAUGCCUGGCGUUCACGUAGUGUGUCCGAAGGGUUAAGGAAUGGAGAUGCCAGUAGCUCGUCCUUGACUGCUAAAGGCUUCCGCAGCGUUAGACCAAACCUACAGGAUAAGAAAUCUCCCACACUGGUGCAUAUUUAUUCAUAAUACAUUUUUAUAUUGAUUUUUUUUAUUUUUUUGUUAAUGCAUUCUUGCUUCUUGGUCAUACUACUGUUACAUUUUGUACGCUCUUCAUUUUUUUUCCUACAACAAACAAUCCUCUUCUUUCAUGUUAUACAUUGUUUUAAAAUGAUAUUGCUUCAAAAAUGAUUUGGGAUUAAUAUUCGUCAUGUUCUUUUUCCAAUAUGAUAACUUCUUUCUAGAGGGUUCAUAUCAAGUGUGAUUUUCUUGACCCCUAAAGCAGUCAAAUUGAAAUUUCUCUGAGAAAAUGUACUUUAUUUGAACUGACUUUAUAUAUUUGAAUUGACCUUUUCUCUGACAGGUCCCCUUGCCGCCCC